UACGUAGGGUGCGAGCGUUGUCCGGAAUUAUUGGGCGUAAAGAGCUCGUAGGCGGUGUGUCACGUCGGCCGUGAAAACCUGGGGCUUAACUCUGGGCGUGCGGUCGAUACGGGCAUCACUAGAGUUCGGCAGGGGAGACUGGAAUUCCUGGUGUAGCGGUGAAAUGCGCAGAUAUCAGGAGGAACACCAACAGCGAAGGCAGAUCUCUGGGACGUUACUGACGCUGAGACGCGAAAGCGUGGGGAGCAAACAGG
rnacentral:rRNA from 1 species